rnacentral:piRNA from 1 species
UUGGAGAAGCGAGCAAUGGAUCACCU